ACAUCCAGAGAAUUUAGCAGAGAUGCUUUAGUGCCUUCGGGAACUCUGAGACAGGUGCUGCAUGGCUGUCGUCAGCUCGUGUUGUGAAAUGUUGGGUUAAGUCCCGNAACGAGCGCAACCCUUUAUCCUUUGUUGCCAGCACGUAAUGGUGGGAAACUCAAAGGAGACUGCCGGUGAUAAACCGGAGGAAGGUGGGGAUGACGUCAAGUCAUCAUGGCCCUUACGAGUAGGGCUACACACGUGCUACAAUGGCGCAUACAAAGAGAAGCGACCUCGCGAGAGCAAGCGGACCUCAUAAAGUGCGUCGUAGUCCGGAUUGGAGUCUGCAACUCGACUCCAUGAAGUCGGGAUCGCUAGUAAUCGUAAAUCAGAAUGUUACGGUGAAUACGUUCCCGGGCCUUGUACACACCGCCCGUCACACCAUGGGAGUGGGUUGCAAAAGAAGUAGAUAGCUUAACCUUCGGGAGGGCGUUUACCACUUUGUGAUUCAUGACUGGGGUGAAGUCGUAACAAGGUAAGCGUAGUGCU
rnacentral:rRNA from 1 species